AUGGGUAAGCUGCUAGCCUUGAAGCAACUAUAUGGUGAUUGGGAUAGUAGUUUUAACAACUUGUAUAGGUUUAAAGCACAAGUUGAAAGUUGCUGCCCUAAUAGCAUAGUGCAGAUCGACCAUCAUACCAUAAAUGGUAAAAUAAGGUUUAGAAGAAUUUUUGUUGCUCUCAAACCUUGCAUAGAUGGAUUUCUUAGUGGCUGCAGGCCGUAUUUGGCUGUGGACAGCACCUUUAUGACAGGCAGAUUCAAGGGGCAAUUGGCUAGUGCUACUGCAGUGGAUGGCCAUAAUUGGAUGUAUCCAGUUUGUUUUGGAAUUUUUGACUCUGAAACAAAUGAAAAUUGGAUCUGGUUCAUGCAAUUGCUAAGACAAGCCAUAGGAUCACCAACAGGUUUUGCCAUAUGCGCUGAUGCUGGCCAAGCAGUGAUGACAGGGGUAAAAGAAGUGUUCCCGGAGGCAGAACAUAGAGAAUGUAUGUUCCACUUGGUGAGCAACUUCAAGAAGAAGUUUACUGGAAAAGUAUUUGAUGACCACCUAUGGGCAGCUGCUUACUCAUGGAACCCAUAUAUAUUUGACAAGAGUUGGGCUGCAAUGGAGGCAGUAAAGCCAGCCGCAACAACAUAUAUUAGGAAGUGGCACAAUAGGUUGUGGUCUAGGAGUCAGUUCUCGACCAUAUGCAAGGUGGACUAUGUAACCAACAACUUGGCGGAGUGCUUUAACAAUUGGAUCAAGCACCACAAGUCAUUGAACUUGGACGAUUUCUUGGACAAGGCGAGGUAG
rnacentral:rRNA from 1 species